UGUACAAUCAUAUGAUCUUUUGAUCACAGAAAUAUAUUUUCCUUUCUCCUAAAAAAAUAAAUAAAAUAGAUUGCCUAAAGUGAAGCAUUAGAUUUAAAAUAGUGCAUAUAUAUGCCCCUACUCACUUCAUUCAGGGAUUGUUUCAAGAACUGGCAUCCACCUUGUUGCUGCAGAAUUAUGCACCAUAACCAUUACUUUUCCAUGUUUCUCUGAUCUGAAUUCUUAAGAGCACUUCCUCCACAGGUACCGUCUUGGAUAAUAAUUCUUGACGCUGCUGCCUUGUUAUGAUCGCCUUUAUUCUCUUUCUACAAACUUUCACCAUCAGAUAAGAACAAUCUAUAUAUUGACUAGAGAGAUUACAUGCAUGCAUCCUCAAUCAACAACCCGAGGCCACCUGCUCUGCUUGUACUCGAAAACCUUGCUUACAAUCUUCACAAUGCGCAAGAGUACCAUACCCUCUCAUUUUCACUCUCCACCCUCGAAGGCUGCGUUUUGGGGGGGGGGGGCCUUUUUUGCUCCCCCGCUAAUAAGCGCCUCAACGGUUUGCGUUUGGUAAACCUGCUUCUCCCCUCCUUUUUCCAGAAGCCAACGCUUUUUCGAUCGAAAAGCCAAAGCCGGCAGUCCCUUGCUUUUAGAAGAAGCAGGAGACGGCUUUUGUCAUUGUAGCGGUAGAUACUGUAGAUUAAUGAAAUUUUGGAAAUACCGGUUUCUAUCCUCUCUUCGUUUCAGCAAUUACACAAUGCCAGGAGACUCUUCUCUUUCGUGUUCAAAUUCGAAGACUUUUCAGUUUCAAUUUCUUUGAAAAAAAGCCAAUCUUCAAAGGUAUCCUCGGCCUGAGAAGGAAUAUAAGUCAUUUUCUCUUAUAUAUGAUGACAGGUCUUUAGAUUCGAUAUGCAAGGAUAAAGAUGAAGCUGAAGUCUGGUUUACUGGUCUAAAAGCAUUAAUAUCACGCGGCCUUCAACAGAAGGGGAGGGCAGAAACAAAAAGUGGAGUUACCUCUGAAGCAAAUAGUCCAAGAUCACACACGCAAAGAAGUUCUCCUUUGAGCUCUCCAUUUUGUAGUGGUGAUAGUUCACAGAAGGAUGAACUGGAACCCUUUCAUCCUCAUGCUACAGCUGAAAGCCCUCCUAAAGUCCAUUUGGAGAAGGCUUUAUCAGAUGCCAUGUUAUAUGCCCUCCCUCCGAAAGUUCCCUUUCCUUCAGAUUCUGCUUUUGGCUCAUUUCAGUCUCUGUCAUCAGGAGGCUCAGAUUCUGCUUCUGGCUCAUUGAUGUUGGCCGGGCUAGUACAUGGGUAAAGAUUGUCAAUGAGUUGAUUUGAGAAAUUAGUUGAGAAAUUCGUGGCCUGGGUAAACUUGUCUUUGGCCAUCAUAACUAUAUGGUGACCAAUUAGUUGAUUUGAGAAGUAUAGGUGUGUCUGUUGUAAUUCAAGUGGAUAUUGCAAUUCUGCAUGUAAAUGUUGAGAAAUUAUGUUUGUAAAAUCUCUACUGAGAUCCCAUUCAUAGAUAGAAAUGAGCUUAAUAUGACUCUGAUAGA